rnacentral:lncRNA from 1 species
GUCGGUUAUCAAAUCGGGAAAAUUAAUUGCGGAAAGGCGUCAUUACUGCAGAGAAUUUCGGAGCAUUAAUGAUUUCAUACUCCGAAACUGGGGGGCAUGUGUUGACACCGUUUUUUGGGCACGUGUCCAGGAUCGGUAGAGUAUAGAUCGGCAGGACAGGGCAAAGGUAGCUGGUCUAUAGGAGAGUUGCCGAUGAAGGUGGUUGCCGAUGAGGAGAUGGCUGGAUGUGGCUAAGUCCAUGGAUGGUGAUGUGUCUGUGCCGAUGGCCAGCAUUAACCUUUGUAGGUGAUUGCGGUAAAGAAUCUGCCGAUGGCACGGGAGGAAGGCUUGAAGACUGCCGAUUGGUCUAUGGUGGUGUCGCAGGCGGUCACGGGAAGAUAGUUUUAUGUUUUUCCUUAGUUAUUUUAAUUGUUUUGAAUAUGGAUUCUAUUUAAUUUGGAAUUCUAGUUCUAGUCGUUUCUGGUUGUAGCUCUUUGGAGCCGGGUAUAAAUGUAG